GAUGAAUGCUGGCGGCAUGCCUUACACAUGCAAGUCGAACGGCAGCACGGGUGCUUGCACCUGGUGGCGAGUGGCGAACGGGUGAGUAAUACAUCGGAACGUACCUUAUCGUGGGGGAUAACGCAGCGAAAGCUGUGCUAAUACCGCAUACGCCCUGAGGGGGAAAGCGGGGGAUCGAAAGACCUCGCGCGAUUAGAGCGGCCGAUGCCUGAUUAGCUUGUUGGUGGGGUAAAAGCCCACCAAGGCGACGAUCAGUAGCUGGUCUGAGAGGACGAUCAGCCACACUGGGACUGAGACACGGCCCAGACUCCUACGGGAGGCAGCAGUGGGGAAUUUUGGACAAUGGGGGCAACCCUGAUCCAGCAAUGCCGCGUGAGUGAAGAAGGCCUUCGGGUUGUAAAGCUCUUUUGUCAGGGAAGAAACACCGGCUCUAACACAGUCCGGGAAUGACGGUACCUGAAGAAUAAGCACCGGCUAACUACGUGCCAGCCGCCGCAGUAA
rnacentral:rRNA from 1 species